AAACAGAGUAUUAACUCUUACAUUACCAUAACCCAAACCCAGCAUUAACCCUCACAUUACCAUAACCCAAACACAGCAUUAACCCUUACAUUACCAUAACCCAAAUCCAGCAUAACUCUUACAUUACCAUUACCCCAACACAGUAUUAACCCUUACAUUACCAUAACCCAAAUCCAGCAUAACCCUUACAUUACCCUAACACAGCAUUAACCCUUACAUUACCAUAACCCAAAUCCAGCAUUAACCAUU